rnacentral:rRNA from 1 species
AGAGUUUGAUCGUGGCUCAGGACGAACGCUGGCGGCGUGCUUAACACAUGCAAGUCGAACGGAAAGGCCCUGCUUUUGUGGGGUGCUCGAGUGGCGAACGGGUGAGUAACACGUGAGUAACCUGCCCUUGACUUUGGGAUAACUUCAGGAAACUGGGGCUAAUACCGGAUAGGAGCUCCUGCUGCAUGGUGGGGGUUGGAAAGUUUCGGCGGUUGGGGAUGGACUCGCGGCUUAUCAGCUUGUUGGUGGGGUAGUGGCUUACCAAGGCUUUGACGGGUAGCCGGCCUGAGAGGGUGACCGGCCACAUUGGGACUGAGAUACGGCCCAGACUCCUACGGGAGGCAGCAGUGGGGAAUAUUGCACAAUGGGCGGAAGCCUGAUGCAGCAACGCCGCGUGCGGGAUGACGGCCUUCGGGUUGUAAACCGCUUUCGCCUGUGACGAAGCGUGAGUGACGGUAAUGGUAAAGAAGCC